rnacentral:rRNA from 1 species
AGAACGAACGCUGGCGGCAUGCCUAACACAUGCAAGUCGGACGCUUCAUGGGUUUCGGCUCAUGGGGAGUGGCGCACGGGUGAGUAGCGCGUGGGAACCUGUCCUUUAGUGGGGGAUAACCGAGGGAAACUUCGGCUAAUACCGCAUGCGCCCGGGGCGACCUUGGGGAAGAUUUAUCGCUGAGGGAGGGCCCGCGUCGGAUUAGGUAGUUGGUGGGGUAACGGCCCACCAAGCCUGUGAUCCGUAGCUGGUCUGAGAGGAUGAUCAGCCACACUGGGACUGAGACACGGCCCAGACUCCUACGGGAGGACAGCAGUGGGGAAUAUUGGACAAUGGGCGCAAGCCUGAUCCAGCAAUGCCGCGUGAGUGAUGAAGGCCUUCGGGUUGUAAAGCUCUUUGGGCGGGACGAUGAUGACGGUACCCGCAGAACAAGCCCCGGCUAACUUCGUGCCAGCAGCCGC